CCGCCCCGGGAGCUCCUCCCACGUAGUUCCUUUUUUCCUUUUCUUUGUGUUUUUCUACAAACGUCGCGAGGCGCCUUAGUACCUUUUAUGUUAGCUUCCCUUGUUAUUGCUAGUGUUUUCUAUCAACUUGUUUUGACCAAGCUUCAAUAUAAAUAUAUCCGAUGUUAUUUUUACUUGCUUCUCUUCCUACGACUAACUUGCCGGGGAAGGGCUCUGUCCUUCUCGUGCUUUUAGCCUUGCGUACCUGGGGACUUGCC
rnacentral:lncRNA from 1 species